CGCUAAUGAUCUCCCUAUCUACGUUUUUUUUGAGCAAAACAAGCAACUCUGGCCACCGCGUUUCAGCAGCAGACAGAGUAAUGAAAAAAGUCGGCAGGCCGAACUGACGAAUCAUGGCCAUAACCUUCUUCUUUUCAUCCUCCCAGUGAGCCGGAGACGAUCGAAUAUCGCGAAGAACCCUAUAUCCCUCAUCGUGGUUAAUAAGCCCCCCUAUGAAAUUCUCAUUAAGAGCGUUAGCUGCCGUUACUGCACUGGAAGUGCUCCGCUUACUUUGUCAGUUCUACAACCUCUCCUAUCUACAUUUCGAAGCUCUGAUCUAACAAUGGUUGUAAAACUUUGCGAAGAUUGUCUUUUGACGCCUGCAUAAAUUGUGGGAAAGGAUAACUCUUCCGAGUCAAUGUCUAGAAUCAUGUCGAGAGGUCGUUGGCCUUGACCUGGUGCGAUUUUGAUAAUCCUAUCAUCAAAUGGCUGCGUCUGCUUGAGAUGCUACGAAUGGAACAAUAUCGGAUGUGAAACCAGAGAUCCAUUGCUCGUUAACUACAACAUUAUGCUUUUUAUACAAAUCUGUGGUAACUAAAUAACGAAGUGCUUCAAAAAUUUUGGAAGGUCUAAUGGUUUCAGCCAUGAAAGCAUGAAGAUACUCUUUUCUGCGUUUGAGGUGGAGCUGAAUUACCUGUGCUUCAUGGAAAGCUCGUGGAAGCUCCUUCACGAUAUCGCUUACCGAAAUAGGGAGGUUU